rnacentral:rRNA from 1 species
CUACGGGUGGCAGCAGUGGGGAAUAUUGCACAAUGGGCGAAAGCCUGAUGCAGCAACGCCGCGUGAGUGAUGAAGGUUUUCGGAUCGUAAAACUCUGUUCUAAGGGAAGAUAAUGACGGUACCUUAGGAGAAAACCCCGGCUAACUACGUGCCAGCAGCCGCGGUAAUACGUAGGGGGCAAGCGUUAUCCGGAAUUACUGGGCGUAAAGGGUGCGUAGGUGGCCUGACAAGUCAGGGGUCAAAGGCAACGGCUCAACCGUUGUAAGCCCUUGAAACUGUCGGGCUUGAGUUCAGGAGAGGAAAGCGGAACUCCAAGUGUAGCGGUGAAAUGCGUAGAUAUUUGGAGGAACACCAGUGGCGAAGGCGGCUUUCUGGACUGAUACUGACACUGAGGCACGAAAGCGUGGGGAGCAAACAGGAUUAGAUACCCCAGUAGUC